rnacentral:rRNA from 1 species
UACGUAGGGUGCAAGCGUUAAUCGGAAUUACUGGGCGUAAAGCGUGCGCAGGCGGUUGUGCAAGACAGAUGUGAAAUCCCCGGGCUCAACCUGGGAAUUGCAUUUGUGACUGCACGGCUAGAGUGUGUCAGAGGGGGGUAGAAUUCCACGUGUAGCAGUGAAAUGCGUAGAGAUGUGGAGGAAUACCGAUGGCGAAGGCAGCCCCCUGGGACGUAACUGACGCUGAGACGCGAAAGCGUGGGGAGCAAACAGG